rnacentral:lncRNA from 1 species
AUGAUGAAUUAUAAAGAACUGGAGCAGAGCAACUGGCAGCCUCCAAAUACAAAGGAAAGGAAAUUGAUGAACAACUGGAAUCAAGUUGCUUGCUGUUGGGCUGGACUGAGCACUCUCAUGUUGUCAACUGCCCUAGGCAUGGAAUACUGCCAAUCUUACAGAGGAAAUACAGCGACCCGGCAGUUGUCCCUGCCUGUGUGUCCCCUGGAAACCCGGGAAGAGCAGGAGGAGGAGAGGGGCUUCAGUACACAGCUACCAGGAGCCUGCUCCCCAGGUGCGGCAGCCCAAAGAGGAUCUCGUAGUGCGGACCACAGACGGCGACCCCAGCUCAGCAGCUGCAGGAGCGCGAGUCCAGAUGUGGAGGGAGACAAUGGCCGUACUCAUAAAAACCGCUGCAGAAGUCAUUUGCGUCGGCGACCUUCCGGGCUGUCACAGGAUACAGCCACCAGCAGAGACUGCAUCUGUCGGGCGUUCUUGAGGAUCAGGAGGACCAGCGUUAGAUGCUGGAGGAUGCGGUGGCGUUGA